CCCUUAGAUGUUCUGGGCUGCACGCGCGCUACACUGAUGCGCUCAACGAGUUUUAACCUUGCCUGGAAAGGUUGGGUAAUCUUUUUAAAACGCAUCGUGAUGGGGAUAGAUUAUUGCAAUUCUUGAUCUUGAACGAGGAAUGCCUAGUAGGCGCAAGUCAUUACCUUGCGUCGAUUAAGUCCCUGCCCUUUGUACACACCGCCCGUCGCUCCUACCGAUUCGAGUGAUCCGGUGAACCUUUUGGACCGAGGCUGUCUCGGCAGUCUUGGGAAAUCAAGUAAACCACGUCACUUAGAGGAAGGAGAANUCGUANCA
rnacentral:rRNA from 1 species